rnacentral:misc_RNA from 1 species
GAUGAAGAACGUAGCGAAAUGCGAUAAGUAGUGUGAAUUGCAGAAUUCAGUGAAUCAUCGAAUCUUUGAACGCACAUUGCGCCCCUUGGUAUCCCGAGGGGCAUGCCUGUUCGAGCGUCAUUUCACCACUCAAGCCUGGCUUGGUGUUGGGCGACGUCCCCUUUGGGGACGCGCCUCGAAACGCUCGGCGGCGUGGCACCGGCUUUAAGCGUAGCGGAAUCUUUCGCUUUGGAAGUCGGGGCCCCGUCUGCCGGAAGACCUACUCGCAAGGUUGACCUCGGAUCAGGCAGGGAUACCCGCUGAACUUAAGCAUAUCAAUAAGCGGAGGA